rnacentral:rRNA from 1 species
AUGUAUCCAGGUGCUCGACUCGCUAGGCCCAGGAAUGCACCGCAAAGACCUCACCGCUAUGCUGGAAGGCAAGGGCAAGAACACCUUACUGCUUGUGAAGGAAUGCUUAGUCCGUGGCUGCUGUAUGCACAGAUGCAUGCCCUCUUGCCGGCAAAACAGCAGCAACAGUCACCUCUGGACAUGCCAUCAGUUCCUAGAAGAAAGUGGUGUUCGAGUAGGAAGAGGGAGGAGAUGCAAACAUCGCUGCUAAUCCGACCAGUUCAGGAAACACAUAAAGAUGAUAUGUAUCCUUUGAGCAAUAGGAUCAGCUUCAUGUCCAUACGGUCACCACACAUGCCAUGCAGGCGGCAAGAUACGGGCAUGUCCAUCAUCGACUUCGAUGACGGCGAGAUCGACGUGGUGCAGCACAACUCUGUCCGAGUCAGCAGCAGCGAAUUGUUUCUACGGAGGUCUAAUCCUUUUCGGUAUUUUAAGUCAAAAUAG